UAAGUUGGCAAAGCGAUGUCCGGAAUAUUGGGCGUAAAAGCGCCGCGCAGGCGGUCCUUUAAGUCUGAUGUGAAAAGCCCACGGCUCAACCGUGGAGGAUCAUUGGGAAACUUGGGGGACUUGAGUGCAGAAAGAGGGAAAAGUGGAAUUUCCCAGUGUAGCGGUGAAAUGCGUAGAGAUUUGGAGGAACACCCAGUGGCGAAGGGCGACUUUUUGGGUCUGUAACUGACGCUGAGGCGCGAAAGCGUGGGGGAGCAAACAGGAUUAGAUACCCUGGUAGUCCACGCCGUAAACGAUGAGUGCUAAGUGUUAGGGGGUUUCCGCCCCUUAGUGCUGCAGCUAACGCAUUAAGCACUCCGCCUGGGGAGUACGGUCGCAAGACUGAAACUCAAAGGAAUUGACGGGGGCCCGCACAAGCGGUGGAGCAUGUGGUUUAAUUCGAAGCAACGCGAAGAACCUUACCAGGUCUUGACAUCCCGCUGACCGCUCUAGAGAUAGAGUUUUCCCUUCGGGGACAGCGGUGACAGGUGGUGCAUGGUUGUCGUCAGCUCGUGUCGUGAGAUGUUGGGUUAAGUCCCGCAACGAGCGCAACCCUUGAUCUUAGUUGCCAGCAUUCAGUUGGGCACUCUAAGGUGACUGCCGGUGAUAAACCGGAGGAAGGUGGGGAUGACGUCAAAUCAUCAUGCCCCUUAUGACCUGGGCUACACACGUGCUACAAUGGACGGUACAGAGGGUCGCAACCCCGCGAGGGUGAGCUAAUCCCAUAAAACCGUUCUCAGUUCGGAUUGUAGGCUGCAACUCGCCUACAUGAAGCCGGAAUCGCUAGUAAUCGUGGAUCAGCAUGCCACGGUGAAUACGUUCCCGGGCCUUGUACACACCGCCCGUCACACCACGAGAGUUUGUAACACCCGAAGUCGGUGGGGUAACCCUUACGGGAGCCAGCCGCCCGAAAGUUGGACCCGAAGUUAGG
rnacentral:rRNA from 1 species